AGUUCAAUUAUUACAUUCACAUAGGCCGCUCCCUUCCACGGACAAGUGACAAGGAAGAAAAAAACAACAGUAAUUUCUAGAUUCAUAGAGGCCGCUCCUUUCAACGGACAAUUGAAAGAAAUUUAGAAAAAAACAACAGUAAUUGUCCAAACGGCUAGAUUGCAUACCUUUACACUCUUCCGUGAUGAGAUUGAGAUGCAUUUGCAAUCAAGCAAUUACACAAUUUCAUAGCAUGGCUUCCGUAUUGCUGUGCUUUCUGGUAGUAUUGUGAUCAUUAGGUCUGGAGAAUUAUAGGCAUUCGCUGCUGUAUUUCAUAGCAUGGCUUGGGGUGGGAUGUGCUUUACGGUAGUAUUGUGAUUAUUACCUGGAGCAUUCGCUGCUUUAUUCCAAGACAAUAAUCUCGAGGUGCUAGCAGAGUGGAACGGAGUUCAAGUGGGAGAUGAAGACAUAAGGGCAUCGCAAUCUGCUUUCUCUUCUUGUUGUUUUGGGUGAAAUGUGCAAUUGCAAGCAAGCAAUCAUACAUAUUUGUGGAUGAUGCAACUCUAUUCAAAUUUCAUAGCAUGGUUGUGCAGAGGAAUUGGUCACCAGCGCAUGGAGUCAUUAUGAUUGGUAGCAAGAGGAAUGGAAGACCCUGGCAAUUUGACACUGGAAGUUGGGCUUCAUGAUACAACGAGGGACCUAUUAUAAAGACUAAGUUAAUAAUUUGGUAAAGGCAAUGAAAGAAGCAUCUGGGACUUAAUCAGCGUGUACUGCAUACUACAUGUAUGAUGCUCACUAACCAAAACAAUAACAACUACCAGAUGGACUGGAAUGUAGGUUUUGCAUGUAAGAACCCUUAUACCAUGGAUUAACUCGUUCUUCUGACAUCUUAUCAUCCUAUUGUCCUUUGACAAUGCCUUGCAUUGCUGUUAUAUAUUGUUGGCUUUGAUUUGGUACUUUGAAUUACAAUGAAGAACUGGCAAUUCCAAAAAAGCUUAAAAAGCUUGUCUGUUUACAUAUAUUUACCAUAUUAACUGUUUGUUUGAAACCAUAGUUGAGCGCAAUGGUGUUCAAAUUGGACCAAGAGGGAGUUGAGUGGUUGUUUAGCACUCAUCCCUCUCCCACUGAAGCCCAUUCUGAUGAGAAAACGGGCUGCCAUGCAUUGGAUUAUCAGCUACAAUCCCAGCGUAUUCAUUUUAAGGUAAGUUUGAUAGUCUUAACUGUAGUUCAUUCCUAAGAUUCAGAAAAGAUUGAUUGGCUUUCCAUUAUUUUUUUAAAGUAUGUUAGAAGAAGGGAGUGAUUUUCUGUUGUCUUCAAGCCCUCCACAUUGAGUUCUGACAUUGGAUCCUCUGGCAAUGUAUUGGUUUGACUACAAGCCACCACCUCCAUAACACUAUGCCUGAUUCUUACUCUGUUAUAAAUCAAUCCCAUUUUCUUCUCCUUCCAGUGUGAAGGACUUCAUUUGCUGUUUUCCUUGUCUUCAGGUUUGGGUUUUUUUACAUUGAAGCAGAGAACAGAACAAUAUCAGCAAUAAACAACAACAGUUAAUUAUUGCACUAUGCAUCAUUUGACGAGUUUGGUGUUAAUAAUAUAUUAAUGUUAGGUGUGAAAUGUGAA